ACAUCGUCCUGGUCUGGUUUACCUCYUUCACGUCUCCUGAGCACUGCCUCAUUCCCACACGUUUUUUUGGUCCGUCUGAAACGGAGUGCAGAGAAAGGCCAGCAACGCAGGCUGCCUGCGCCGAGAAUUAAUCCCCCACCUCCUCCGAAGACAGAAAUUGAGUCUGUACCUGGCCGUGGCUGAUGAAGCGUUUGUAGCAGAGGGAAAGAGGGAGAUGCUAGGGAACACCAGAGACUGCAGACCCACAUUUGUCAUUGCUUUAAGUUAAUUAACGACACCCCAGUUGGACUGGCGCGCGUGGGACUGCAGAAGGUAAAUGGCUUCAGGAACCAGGUUUCUGAAGGGAAUCCGGCACUUGCUGAAAAGAGCUAAAUGGUGUGUAAGAAUAUGACCGUUUCUCCUGAACCCUGUGAAAGGCACCUGAGUCAGUCCUGCGCGGGGGUGUCUGCAGGGACAUCUGCUCCGGGUCUCAGCUGCGGCUGCCGGUGGGGGAAGGAAGCUGCCGGAGCAUGCGGCUCCCGCGGGGACCGUGGGGCUUUGGUGGCUGUGUCCCGUCCUCUGGAGGCGGUGGGAGAUCAGAGCAGAUGUCCCAGACCUUGAUCCACAUUCAGCAGGGACUCAAGGCCAAGGCUCAAGAAGGCGACGAGUUUUCAGCACACUGUGAUGUUUAAGAGGCAGGUUGCUGUGCUUCAUCCUGGCUCAAGCGCCACGAGCAUCUCCCAAGGGAAGGUACGGGACUGACCGUGGAGCCUUUCCCAGGAGACGCACCGGAGCCAGGCGAUGGAGGCUUCAAAGGCUGGGCUGAACUUAGCUUUGCGUGGAAGCACCUACCACCCAGGCACAGCGCUGCGCGCCGAGCUUCUGGCACGGAUGCGCCCAGGCUGAGAGCAUGGCAGCAGCCUCUGUGCCUGUUGAUGGCUGAAGAAACCCGGUAAUGACCCAGACUAACCAUCACUUCCAGCUGGUCGAGUCCUGCGGAUGCCAGAUACGCUGUCUCGCCAAAGCAGGAGCUCCCCGCAGCUGUGCACGCUCCGCAGGCCCUGUCCCUGCUGCAAGCCCUCACACRUAUCCGACACGGACAGAGGAAUAGGAGGGUCAACACGGAGUUUCAGUGUGUCAGGUCUGUGUUGUAAGAACCGUGGCAUUUGCAUGCUGGCCUGCAACUCCGCUUUAUUAUGUCUCAUAAAACMCUAUUCCAUGAACAGUGUCCUGUGGAAGCAAAGACACAAAUAACAGUCAUUGCGAUAUGACCACAUGUUGUCCAAAGCCCGUAGCGGGAUGCCGUGUGGCGGCMCUCAGCCGCUGAGUGGCUGUGGCUGGACCGGUAAAGCACUGGCAUGAGAGGGCUGCAGGCCCAUCCUCAUCCUCCUGAGCACGCGAGGCAGGGCCAGGCAGCCUGGGUGCCAGCCCCCUGCCACCACCUCUGCAGGGACGUCAUGGGCCCGUGCCAGACGUCUCUGGAGWCUCCCUAAGGCAGGGUGGGGACGUGUUUCUGGGCAGGAUGCUGCACACUCARCUUAAGGACUCGGAUCAAUUCCUCCUUGAAAGCCUCUCUCCAUCUUCUUCUCCAUAACUUACGUUCCCUUAUAGAAGAAACUCGYGGAAAGCUGCGGGUUCAGCUCUCCGUGUGUUAACGGCUACCUUGCUAAGCUCCUUAYAGCAAGGGUAGGAUGCAGGUCAGCGUUGCCGCCUCUUGAGCGCAAAG
ensembl:lncRNA